GCAAUGUCUGCUGUCUCCCUGUCCUUCUGCACCAGGCAGUAGUGUACCUCAGGAAGUGCCCUUAGUUUCUCUGCAGCCUGGAAAGGAGACAAAGGGCAAUUAAGGAGGGUAAGAAGGCUAAGAACUCCUUGGGGAUCAGGGCCUUGUUCUCUCCCACCUUCCUGAGUAGUUCUUGGCGACUGUACUCCAUCAGUAGGGGUUCGCCAUGCUGCUUGUGAUAGGACUGCUGAGACCGCUCCUCACGCCGAGCAAUAUCUGGCAGGAAACUGCUGGCCCACACCUAUCAGAAGACAGGAGAAGAUAAGAGCAUGAAAGGAGACCACCUCACAGACCUGUACCCAAGCAUACUGGGCACCCAACUCCUCUGUGACUGAGGCCCAUGAAUCGAUGACAGCCCGGAUCUCAGGGACCGACAUGAGAGGCAGCGUCACAUCCGACCAAGGGUGGAAGCAC